CCUACGGGCGGCUGCAGUGGGGAAUAUUGCACAAUGGGCGAAAGCCUGAUGCAGCGACGCCGCGUGAGCGAAGAAGUAUUUCGGUAUGUAAAGCUCUAUCAGCAGGGAAGAUAAUGACGGUACCUGACUAAGAAGCACCGGCUAAAUACGUGCCAGCAGCCGCGGUAAUACGUAUGGUGCAAGCGUUAUCCGGAUUUACUGGGUGUAAAGGGAGCGCAGGCGGUGCGGCAAGUCUGAUGUGAAAGCCCGGGGCUCAACCCCGGUACUGCAUUGGAAACUGUCGUACUAGAGUGUCGGAGGGGUAAGCGGAAUUCCUAGUGUAGCGGUGAAAUGCGUAGAUAUUAGGAGGAACACCAGUGGCGAAGGCGGCUUACUGGACGAUAACUGACGCUGAGGCUCGAAAGCGUGGGGAGCAAACAGGAUUAGAUACCCCAGUAGUC
rnacentral:rRNA from 1 species